rnacentral:rRNA from 1 species
AGGGUUUGAUCAUGGCUCAGAUUGAACGCUGGUGGUAUGCUUAACACAUGCAAGUCGAACGGUAACAUUGGAGCUUGCUCCAGAUGACGAGUGGCGGACGGGUGAGUAACGCGUAGGAAUCUGCCUAGUAGUGGGGGACAACAUGUGGAAACGCAUGCUAAUACCGCAUACGCCCUACGGGGGAAAGCGGGGGAUCUUCGGACCUCGCGCUAUUAGAUGAGCCUGCGUUAGAUUAGCUUGUUGGUGGGGUAAUGGCCUACCAAGGCGACGAUCUAUAGCUGGUCUGAGAGGACGAUCAGCCACACUGGGACUGAGACACGGCCCAGACUCCUACGGGAGGCAGCAGUGGGGAAUAUUGGACAAUGGGCGCAAACCUGAUCCAGCAAUACCACGUGUGUGAAGAAGGCCUGAGGGUUGUAAAGCACUUUCAAUUGGGAGGAAAACAGCUGGGUUAAUAGCCCUGCUCUUGACAUUACCUUUAGAAGAAGCACCGGCUAACUCCGUGCCAGCAGCCGCGGUAAUACGGAGGGUGCGAGCGUUAAUCGGAAUUACUGGGCGUAAAGCGUACGUAGGCGGUUAUUUAAGUCAGAUGUGAAAGCCCCGGGCUCAACCUGGGAACUGCAUUUGAAACUGGAUAACUAGAGUUUGAUAGAGGAGAGUAGAAUUUCUGGUGUAGCGGUGAAAUG